AGAGUUUGAUCCUGGCUCAGGAUGAACGCUGGCGGCAUGCCUAAUACAUGCAAGUCGAACGAGGAUCCUUCGGGAUCCUAGUGGCGAACGGGUGAGUAACACGUAGGGAACCUGCCCGCGCACCGGGAAUACGCUCUGGAAACGGAGAACAAAUCCCGAUGUACAGGAAGGAGGCAUCUUCUUUCUGUGAAGCAUCCUGUAAGGGAUGGGGCGCGGAUGGACCUGCGGUGCAUUAGUUAGUUGGCGAGGGUAAAGGCCCACCAAGACGAUGAUGCAUAGCCGGCCUGAGAGGGCGGACGGCCACAUUGGGACUGAGACACGGCCCAGACUCCUGCGGGAGGCAGCAGUAGGGAAUUUUCGUCAAUGGGCGCAAGCCUGAACGAGCGAUGCCGCGUGAGUGAAGAAGGCCUUCGGGUCGUAAAGCUCUGUUGCGGGGGAAAAAAGCAUCUGCAGGAAAUGGUAGAUGACAGAUGGUGCCCCGCCAGAAAGUCACGGCUAACUACGUGCCAGCAGCCGCGGUAAUACGUAGGUGGCGAGCGUUAUCCGGAAUGAUUGGGCGUAAAGGGUGCGCAGGCGGUCCUGCAAGUCUGGAGUGAAACGUAUGAGCUCAACUCAUGCAUGGCUCUGGAAACUGGAGGACUGGAGAGCAGGAGAGGGCGGUGGAACUCCAUGUGUAGCGGUAAAAUGC
rnacentral:rRNA from 1 species